rnacentral:lncRNA from 1 species
AGAGUUGCAGCAUCGUUUGUGAUUUUAUUACAUGCUGUAUAUUUUAUGUCAAUUUGAGUUUGUUAGUUACAAGUUUGUUUACAUAUAUGACAGGACAAUUGUUUUUGAGAUAGUAGAAAUAAAACUGUAAAAGUACAAAAAAAUAUCUCAGUUUUUCUAUAUAAUUCUCCACACUCAACAUAAAAUGGCGACUGUGACAGGACAAUACGUGGAGGAUCCAUCAAGGUUGAAGAAAAAACGAGGUAUCUUGAGGAAAAUGUUUAAAAAAUUAUAAUUAUAAUUUUAAUAAUCAACGAGUUGGAACUGGAACUGAAUGCUCAGCCGAUAGCAAAGCCUAGUAUACUGGCCCUCUUAACACAGAUUGAAGAUGAAGGUUCCAGAUUAUUCGUCAUUGAUGAGCAAAUCCAAAUGGUGACAACAGAUGAUGAAGAGUUCGAGAAAGAGUUUGAAGAGAAUGAAAAGUUUCGUGAGAAUUUGAUAAUGUAUAGGUCGAAGUGCGAGUUUGCCCUAGUAAAUAUACCGAAUCAAGAUAUAGGAAAUGCCAGUACAAUUGGAACAUCAAAUGUCAAGCGACAUCUCAAAUUGCCAAAAAUAGAGUUGAAGAAAUUUGAUAGGGACGUUCGAAAAUGGAUUGGCUUCUAGGGGAAAUUUCGAAAAAUCCAUGAAGACACUGAGCGUGAUAAUGAAGACAAAUUCCAAUAUUUAGUGCUUUCCAUGAAAGCCAGGUUUGCACAAGACGAAUUUCUUAUAUAGGUUUACGUCAGGGAACUGUUGAAUUUGGUAUUGAAACAGGCCACCAAUAAUAAAUCAGCCAAAUCUGCCCUUCCAGAAGAUGUUCUAAGAGCUUGGGAGAGACACAGGAGCAAUAUCAAAGCCAAUAAUUUGGGUUCUAGUACAGAUAAAUCUAUUAAUUAUUUAGAUACUUUAUUAAAUUUUCUCCGUUCCGAAGUGGAAAGUGAAGAACGCAUUAGUCUAGCCAGAACCAGUUUUGCUGUUGAAAAGGACACAAAGAAUUGGACGGAAAGUAAGUCAUGUACUGAUAAGCCAUGAACUGAGAAAAGUAAAUACACCGGAGGUGAGCCAAGUCUUUUCACAGCUGCUACAAAAUUUUUUCGACAGAAAAACAUGGUAAGAAAGCUACAAUUUGUUUAUUUUGUGAAGGUAAAUCUCAUUGAAGCCAAGAUUGCAUCAAAGCUAGGUCAUUUUCUGUUAAAGAAAGAAAAGAAAUUGUUUCAAAAAAGAAUGCUUGCUUUUGUUGUUUAAAACUCAACCACAGUGCAGAGCAUGCCAUUUUGAAUUAGUGCAGUCUCUUUCAAAUGAAGCUUUUCUACAGGCACUAAGACGAUUUAUUGCUAGGAGGGAGAGAGUAUCAGUGAUUUAUUCCGAUAACGGAACCAAUUACGUGGGAGCCAAUAACCAAAUGAAAAACUCAGAUUGGAAAGAAAUUUUGAAACACUCAUCAGUUCAACGAAUCACCUGGAAAUUCAACGUCAGUUCAGCACCCUGGUGGGGUGGAUGUGGGAGCGUAUCGUGAGAAUGACCAAGGAACUUUUGAGAAGAAAUCUAGGAAAGAAAACCGUCGAUUAUGAAGAACUUCUGACACUGCUUUGUGACUGCGAAUCGAUUAUAAAUUCAAGGCCACUCACAUAUGUUUCGGACAAUACAAAUGAACUGAUUCCCGUAACACCGUCAUCUUUUCUACAGAGCAUCCCAACCUCAGAAGUACCAGAUAUAGAUCAAAUUGGAAGAACAAGCAUCAAGAAGAGAUUCCGAUAUUCGCAGAAAAUUCGAGAAAAUCUUCGUGAGAGAUUCAGGAAUGUAUAUCUGGCAAAUUAUUAUAUUAUAUUACAAAGAAAAUGUAAUAAGUUGGUUGUAGGUGAUGUAGUUUUCAUUGGAUCUGACAAUACCAAGAGAAUUAGUUGACCGAAGGAAAGAAUAGAAAUUUACCCUGGAAAGGGCAAGAUUGCCAGAGUAGCUCGAAUCAAAUUAGCUACAGGUGAAUUAAUACGCCCGUUUCAACGAAUCUACCCACUAAAAAUUUCAAACUCUAAUGGAGAACCAGAAAUACUAGGCAAACUUGUAAAACGACCCAUUUCAAAUUCCAAAGUAACUCCGUAUGAAGACGAAACAACCAAAGAUCAUCCAAAUCAGGAAAGCAAACAAUCUUCAACUACAGGAGAAGAAAGGGUUCCAGAGAAAGCCGUCCCUGUGUGUACUAGGUCAGGACGAUUGGUCAAGGUUCCUGAUCGAUAUAUGAGUUAGCUGUUUUGCAAUUCAACAUUGAAAAAGGUGAAAUAAUGUUGGAGUUCGAGAGUUGCAGCAUCGUUUGUGAUUUUAUUACAUGCUGUAUAUUUCAUGUUAAUUUGAGUUUGUUAGUUACAAGUUUGUUUACAUAUAUGAUAGGACAAUUGUUUUUGAGAUAGUGAAAAUAAAAAACUGUAAAAGUCUAAAAAAAUA